rnacentral:tRNA from 2 species
AGCCUUGUGGUGUACAACACACCAGAUUGCAAAUCUGGAGACGUAGGCUAAUUGCCUGCCGGGGCUU